GGUAAUACAGAGGGUGCAAGCGUUAAUCGGAAUUACUGGGCGUAAAGCGCGCGUAGGUGGUUUGUUAAGUUGAAUGUGAAAUCCCCGGGCUCAACCUGGGAACUGCAUCCAAAACUGGCAAGCUAGAGUAGAGCAGAGGGUGGUGGAAUUUCCUGUGUAGCGGUGAAAUGCGUAGAUAUAGGAAGGAACACCAGUGGCGAAGGCGACCACCUGGGCUCAUACUGACACUGAGGUGCGAAAGCGUGGGGAGCAAACAGG
rnacentral:rRNA from 1 species